UACGGGAGGCAGCAGUGGGGAAUAUUGCACAAUGGGCGCAAGCCUGAUGCAGCCAUGCCGCGUGUAUGAAGAAGGGCCUUCGGGUUGUAAAGUACUUUCAGUCGUGAGGAAGGUGUUAAGGUUAAUAACCUUAGCAAUUGACGUUAGCGACAGAAGAAGCACCGGCUAACUCCGUGCCAGCAGCCGCGGUAAUACGGAGGGUGCGAGCGUUAAUCGGAAUUACUGGGCGUAAAGGGCACGCAGGCGGUUAAUUAAGUUGGAUGUGAAAUCCCCGGGCUUAACCUGGGAAUGGCAUUCAAGACUGGUUAGCUAGAGUCUUGUAGAGGGGGUAGAAUUCCAUGUGUAGCGGUGAAAUGCGUAGAGAUGUGGAGGAAUACCGGUGGCGAAGGCGGCCCCUGGGACAAGGACUGACGCUCAUGUGCGAAAGCGUGGGGAGCAAACAGGGAUUAGAUACC
rnacentral:rRNA from 1 species